ACCUACAAUAUAUAACAACAUUUCCAUAUCAAAAGUACUUGAUCCUAACAUAAGAAAUCCUAACAGAGAAUCAUAGCAGGAUCCCUACAAGCCAAAAGUACUUGAUGAAAUUAUACAUAAGAAAACACAGCAGUCCAUUCCAACAUAUCAGCAGUCCAUUCCAACAUCUCAGCAAAAUGCAGUCCAUAUCAACAUCUUAGCAGUCCAUUCCAAAAUCUCAUCCUACAAUGAAAUAAAAUGAUGAUCACAAUUGUUAGACAGGAGUCCAUAACAAGAAGUUGCACACAAGAAGUUGCAGUCUACUGUUAUCAUGAUCACAAUUGCAGUAUACUUCAACUAUAAUUGCACUUACAUUAACAUUGUAAAAAACAAUGAUCUUACUUACUUUUAUCAUAAUUGCAGUCUAUCAUAGUCUAAUAGACAAGCCCAACAUGUUAAUGAAAGUUAUAGUGAUAUUCCUGAAAUGCAAAACAAAAUGUUAAUUGAAAAAUCUACAAUGAAAAUAUCCUUGAUAAUAUGAUUUUUACAAUCACCUAGAGAUGAAUAACUAUCAUUAUCUACACUUGGAUUGGGAGUUGCACUGUCAUGACAAGGUGAAUACC
rnacentral:lncRNA from 1 species